UACGUAGGGGGCUAGCGUUGUCCGGAUUUAUUGGGCGUAAAGAGCGUGUAGGCGGCCAUGUAGGUCCGGUGUGAAAACUCGAGGCUUAACCUCGAGAUGUCAUCGGAAACCAUUUGGCUAGAGUCCGGAAGAGGAGAGUGGAAUUCCUGGUGUAGCGGUGAAAUGCGCAGAUAUCAGGAAGAACACCAAUGGCGAAAGCAGCUCUCUGGGACGGUACUGACGCUGAGACGCGAAAGCGUGGGGAGCGAAUGGG
rnacentral:rRNA from 1 species